rnacentral:rRNA from 1 species
GACGAACGCUGGCGGCGUGCUUAACACAUGCAAGUCGAACGGAAAGGCCCUGCUUGCAGGGUACUCGAGUGGCGAACGGGUGAGUAACACGUGGGUGAUCUGCCCUGCACUUCGGGAUAAGCCUGGGAAACUGGGUCUAAUACCGGAUAGGAGCCAUUUUUAGUGUGAUGGUUGGAAAGUUUUUUCGGUGUAGGAUGAGCUCGCGGCCUAUCAGCUUGUUGGUGGGGUAAUGGCCUACCAAGGCGGCGACGGGUAGCCGGCCUGAGAGGGUGGACGGCCACAUUGGGACUGAGAUAAGGCCCAGAAUCCUACGGGAGGCAGCAGUGGGGAAUAUUGCACAAUGGGCGCAAGCCUGAUGCAGCGACGCCGCGUGGGGGAUGACGGCCUUCGGGUUGUAAACUCCGUUCGCUAGGGACGAAGCUUUUUGUGACGGUACCUAGAUAAGAAGCACCGGCUAACUACGUG